AAGAUUAAGCCAUGCAUGUCUAAGUAUAAGCAAUUAUACAGCGAAACUGCGAAUGGCUCAUUAUAUAAGUUAUCGUUUAUUUGAUAGUACCUUACUACUUGGAUAACCGUGGUAAUUCUAGAGCUAAUACAUGCUAAAAACCCCGACUUCGGAAGGGGUGUAUUUAUUAGAUUAAAAACCAAUGCCCUUCGGGGCUCCUUGGUGAUUCAUGAUAACUUCUCGAAUCGCAUGGCCUUGCGCCGGCGAUGGUUCAUUCAAAUUUCUUCCCUAUCAACUUUCGAUGUUUGGGUAUUGGCCAAACAUGGUUGCAACGGGUAACGGAGGGUUAGGGCUCGACCCCGGAGAAGGAGCCUGAGAAACGGCUACUACAUCCAAGGAAGGCAGCAGGCGCGCAAAUUACCCAAUCCCGACACGGGGAGGUAGUGACAAUAAAUACUGAUACAGGGCUCUUUUGGGUCUUGUAAUUGGAAUGAGUACAAUCUAAAUCCCUUAACGAGGAACAAUUGGAGGGCAAGUCUGGUGCCAGCAGCCGCGGUAAUUCCAGCUCCAAUAGCGUAUAUUAAAGUUGUUGUGGUUAAAAAGCUCGUAGUUGAACCUUGGGCCUGGCUGGCCGGUCCGCCUCACCGCGUGCACUGGUCCGGCCGGGCCUUUCCCUCUGUGGAACCCCAUGCCCUUCACUGGGCGUGGCGGGGAAACAGGACUUUUACUUUGAAAAAAUUAGAGUGCUCCAGGCAGGCCUAUGCUCGAAUACAUUAGCAUGGAAUAAUGAAAUAGGACGUGCGGUUCUAUUUUGUUGGUUUCUAGGACCGCCGUAAUGAUUAAUAGGGACAGUCGGGGGCAUCAGUAUUCAAUUGUCAGAGGUGAAAUUCUUGGAUUUAUUGAAGACUAACUACUGCGAAAGCAUUUGCCAAGGAUGUUUUCAUUAAUCAGGAACGAAAGUUAGGGGAUCGAAGACGAUCAGAUACCGUCGUAGUCUUAACCAUAAACUAUGCCGACUAGGGAUCGGACGAUGUUACUUAUUGACUCGUUCGGCACCUUACGAGAAAUCAAAGUGCUUGGGCUCCAGGGGGAGUAUGGUCGCAAGGCUGA
rnacentral:rRNA from 1 species